rnacentral:rRNA from 1 species
GACGAACGCUGGCGGCGUGCUUAACACAUGCAAGUCGAGCGGUAAGGCCCUUCGGGGUACACGAGCGGCGAACGGGUGAGUAACACGUGGGUGAUCUGCCUUGCACUUCGGGAUAAGCCUGGGAAACUGGGUCUAAUACCGGAUAUGACCUCCGGAUGCAUGUUCUGGGGUGGAAAGAUUUAUCGGUGCGAGAUGGGCCCGCGGCCUAUCAGCUUGUUGGUGAGGUAACGGCUCACCAAGGCGACGACGGGUAGCCGACCUGAGAGGGUGACCGGCCACACUGGGACUGAGACACGGCCCAGACUCCUACGGGAGGCAGCAGUGGGGAAUAUUGCACAAUGGGCGAAAGCCUGAUGCAGCGACGCCGCGUGCGGGAUGACGGCCUUCGGGUUGUAAACCGCUUUUGACAGGGACGAAGCGCAAGUGACUGUACCUGUAGAAUAAGGACCGGCCAACUACGUG